rnacentral:rRNA from 1 species
CGGUUAAGUUAUUAAGGGCGCAUGGUGAAUGCCUUGGCACUAGGAGCCGAUGAAGGACGGGACUAACACCGAUAUGCCUCGGGGAGCUGUAAGUAAGCUGUGAUCCGGGGAUUUCCGAAUGGGGGAACCCAACUUGUCAUGCAAGUUAUCGUUUAAUGAAUACAUAGUUAAACGAAGGUAGACGUUGUGAACUGAAACAUCUCAUUAGCAACAGGAGAAGAAAGAAAAAUCGAUUCCGUCAGUAGCGGCGAGCGAACGCGGAGGAGCCCAAACCAGAGUGCUUGCACUCUGGGGUUGUAGGACUACCGUUGUGGAGUUACAAAUUUGUUUAUUAGCAGAAUCAGCUGGGAAGCUGAGCGAAACAGGGUGAUAGCCCCGUAUGCGAAAGUAAGCAAACUCCCGUGUAGGAUCCUGAGUACGGCCGGACACGUGAAAUCCGGUCGGAAACUGCGAGGACCAUCUCGUAAGGCUAAAUACUCCCUAGUGACCGAUAGUGAACCAGUACCGUGAGGGAAAGGUGAAAAGCACCCCGGAAGGGGAGUGAAAAAGUUCCUGAAACCAUGUGCCUACAACAAGUUAGAGCCCGUUAAUGGGUGAUAGCGUGCCUUUUGUAGAAUGAACCGGCGAGUUACGAUACCAUGCAAGGUUAAGGUGGAAAGACCGGAGCCGUAGCGAAAGCGAGUCUGAAAUGGGCGUUUUAGUAUGUUGUUGUAGACCCGAAACCAGGUGACCUACCCAUGUCCAGGGUGAAGGUGCGGUAAAACGCACUGGAGGCCCGAACCCGUACAUGUUGAAAAAUGUUGGGAUGAGGUGUGGGUAGCGGUGAAAUUCCAAUCGAACUUGGAGAUAGCUGGUUCUCUCCGAAAUAGCUUUAGGGCUAGCCUCGGAAGAUAGCGUGUUGGAGGUAGAGCACUGUUUUGGUGCGGGGCCCAUCUCGGGUUACUAAAUUAAGAUAAACUCCGAAUGCCAAUCACGUAUGUCCGGGAGUCAGACAGUGAGUGAUAAGAUCCAUUGUCGAAAGGGGAACAGCCCAGAUCGUCAGUUAAGGUCCCUAAGUGUGUGUUAAGUGGAAAAGGAUGUGAAGUUGCAUAGACAACUAGGAUGUUGGCUCAGAAGCAGCCACCAUUUAAAGAGUGCGUAAUAGCUCACUAGUCGAGUGAUUCUGCGCCGAAAAUGUACCGGGGCUAAACACACCACCGAAACUACGGGUGCCAC